GUCCACGCCGUAAACUAUGAGAGCUAGCCGUUGGACAGCUUGCUGUUCAGUGGCGCAGCUAACGCAUUAAGCUCUCCGCCUGGGGAGUACGGUCGCAAGAUUAAAACUCAAAGGAAUUGACGGGGCCCGCACAAGCGGUGGAGCAUGUGGUUUAAUUCGAAGCAACGCGCAGAACCUUACCUACCCUUGACAUGUCGUGGACCGGUCACAGAGAUGUGACCUUCUCUUCGGAGCCGCGAACACAGGUGCUGCAUGGCUGUCGU
rnacentral:rRNA from 1 species